GUGCUGAUUGAAAUUAUUUUAUGACUUAUGAAAUCCUUAGUGUAAGACUUUACAAAUCGUAAGGGUAUAUGGAAUUUGUGAAAGGUGUGCAUGUCUGUCUUGCAGCUUUCGCCUGGCCUUGACCUCAUUUUAAAACUUCACCGGUCAGUAAAUCUACAGUAAAUGAGAAAACAAAAAUAUAGGAUAAAGGAUAACAAGGGGCAAACAUAUAAAGAAUAUAGAAAAAUGGGGGGAAAAAAACUAUAAAGAAUGAAGAAAAAACCUCAAAAUUUCAAAAUUCAGAAAUGACAGACCAC
rnacentral:lncRNA from 1 species